rnacentral:rRNA from 2 species
GAUGAGUUCUCCCUGACUCCUUGAGAGUCCUGAAGGAACGUUGAAGACGACGACGUUGAUAGGCCGGGUGUGUAAGCGCAGCGAUGCGUUGAGCUAACCGGUACUAAUGAACCGUGAGGCUUAACCUU